GGGAGGGGAAGGAGGUAAAGGGAAAGGGGAAAAUUUGUAAAGGGAAAAAAAAAAGAUUGGGGGGGGGAAGAAGGUGAUAUCAUUAUUCCUUCUCUGCCCAGCCAAAAGUGACCCUGCAGCAUAGGCUCGCUUGCGCCAAAACUAAUGCGCUGCCACAGCUGGCUGCUCCUGCGCCUGCGCCACCAAAACCCAAGUGCAAACCACCAUGUUCAGUUCUGUCAACCAGAGACCAACCCUUAUACUGGGACUUAUCUGGGAAGUCUGUUACUACAAGACCCUAUGGUAGACUUCUCUAAUCCUAACACCUAAGAGCUCCUGUUAUGUUUUCAACUGUUAUCUAGAGGGCACCACUUAAGGCCAACUUUUCCUACCCCUUCCGAUUCCCAAAGUGUGUUCUACCAGGUAGCGCUGUGGGGAAGAAAAAAAAAAAAAA